CGUUUAGCCGUUUCACCCUUUCCAUACCGCGGUCCGUACGGACCGCGGUAUGGAAAGGGUUAAGUCAGGGAACUCCCCCCCUCUGCCAUCGGGGGGCUGCUGUGCCUUUGCAGCCCCCAGAUGGAUGGGGGGACAGA